UACGUAGGGUGCGAGCGUUGUCCGGAAUUACUGGGCGUAAAGAGCUCGUAGGUGGUUUGUCGCGUUGUUCGUGAAAACUCACAGCUCAACUGUGGGCGUGCGGGCGAUACGGGCAGACUGGAGUGUGGUAGGGGGAGAUCGGAAUUCCUGGUGUAGCGGUGAAAUGCGCAGAUAUCAGGAGGAACACCGGUGGCGAAGGGCGGAUCUCUGGGCCAUUACUGACGCUGAGGAGCGAAAGCGUGGGGAGCGAACAGG
rnacentral:rRNA from 1 species